rnacentral:rRNA from 1 species
GAUGAACGCUAGCUACAGGCUUAACACAUGCAAGUCGCGGGGCAGCAUGGGGGUUGCUUGCAAUCCCCGAUGGCGACCGGCGCACGGGUGAGUAACGCGUAUCCAACCUGCCCUUCACCACGGGAUAACCCGGCGAAAGUCGGACUAAUACCGUAUGUUGUCCAUUGACGGCAUCCGAUUUGGACGAAAGGUUUGGCGGUGAAGGAUGGGGAUGCGUCCGAUUAGCUGGACGGCGGGGUGACGGCCCACCGUGGCGACGAUCGGUAGGGGUUCUGAGGGGAAGGUCCCCCACACUGGAACUGAGACACGGUCCAGACUCCUACGGGAGGCAGCAGUGAGGAAUAUUGGUCAAUGGGCGUAAGCCUGAACCAGCCAAGUAGCGUGCAGGAUGACGGCCCUAUGGGUUGUAAACUGCUUUUAUGCGGGGAUAAAGUGGCCCACGUGUGGGUUUUUGCAGGUACCGCAUGAAUAAGAACCGGCUAAUUCCGUG